AAUGAACGCUGGCGGCAUGCCUAAUACAUGCAAGUCGAACGAACGCACGGGAAGCUUUCGCUUCUGAUGGUGGCGGGUGACGGAUGAGUAACACGUGGAUAGCCUACCUCUAAGACUGGGGUGAUUUCGUGGAACCAUAUCUAAUACCACAUAAUAUUUUGAACCGGAUGGAGCAAGAGUUAAAUACGGUCUUGGUGUCAGUUAUAGCUGAAUCCGAGCUACAUUAGAUACUGGUUAAGGUAACGGCUUACCAAGGCCAGGAUGCAUACCCGACAUGAGAGGGUGAUCGGACACACUGGAACUGAGAAACGGUCCAGACUCCUACGGGAGGAAGCAGUAGGGAAUCUUACGCAAUGGGCGAAAGCCUGAUGGAGCAACACCGCGUGAGUGAUGAAGGUCUUCGGAUGGUAAAGCUCUGUUGUUAGGAAAGAAAAUAAGCGCAUUUACCCGUGCAUAUCUUGACGGUACCUAAAGAAUAAGCUACGGCUAACUCCGUG
rnacentral:rRNA from 1 species